UGAAAAAUUUCCAGAAUUUUGUAGUCGCCACAAAAAAUACUGACCAAUCUCGGUCUAGUAAGAUCAAGCAGUCCAAGUUAUAAAAAAAUCCAAGAAAUAAAGCGAAUGUAAAAAACUUUUACUAGAUUCAAUAUUUCUUAGAAAAUCUUUAGUCAUCUUUUGCUGCAAGCAAUUAAACAUUAUAAUUUUGACGUACUGAGGUCCUUAUAUACAAAUUUCAAAUUCUUUAUAGGACAAUUCUUUACAUGAAAAUAUCGUGUCCUUGCUAUAACAAUUCUCAGUUCUUUCCGAGAAUUCCUUCACAUUUCUUAGAAAACAGAAACAGGAAUCUCAUUCUUCUUCACAAUUUCCUUUCUUCUCCUUCACCCAAAUUCAGAAUCCUGAGAACGACUGCAAACUAGUCGAAACGUCAAUUGAAAAU